GAACGGGCUUGGGGGCUUGCUCCCGGGUUAGUGGCGAACGGGUGAGUAAUGUAUCGGAACAUAUCCGGAAGUGGGGGAUAACGUAGCGAAAGUUACGCUAAUACCGCAUAUGCCCUGAGGGGGAAAGGGGGGGAUCGCAAGACCUCUCGCUUUCGGAGUGGCCGAUAUCGGAUUAGCUAGAUGGUGAGGUAAAGGCUCACCAUGGCGACGAUCCGUAGCUGGUCUGAGAGGACGACCAGCCACACUGGAACUGAGACACGGUCCAGACUCCUACGGGAGGCAGCAGUGGGGAAUUUUGGACAAUGGGCGAAAGCCUGAUCCAGCCAUACCGCGUGAGUGAAGAAGGCCUUCGGGUUGUAAAGCUCUUUCAGCCGGAAAGAAAUUGCACUUCUUAAUACGAAGUGUAGAUGACGGUACCGGAAGAAGAAGCACCGGCUAACUACGUGCCAGCAGCCGCGGUAAUACGUAGGGUGCGAGCGUUAAUCGGAAUUACUGGGCGUAAAGCGUGCGCAGGCGGUUUUUUAAGCCAGAUGUGAAAUCCCCGGGCUCAACCUGGGAACUGCAUUUGGAACUGGAAGACUAGAGUAUAGCAGAGGGGGGUAGAAUUCCACGUGUAGCAGUGAAAUGCGUAGAUAUGUGGAGGAAUACCAAUGGCGAAGGCAGCCCCCUGGGUUAAUACUGACGCUCAUGCACGAAAGCGUGGGGAGCAAACAGGAUUAGAUACCCUGGUAGUCCACGCCCUAAACGAUGUCAACUAGUUGUUGGGGGAGGAGACUUCCUUAGUAACGCAGCUAACGCG
rnacentral:rRNA from 1 species